UGGCUCAGUUGGUAGAGCAUGGUGUUUGCAACGCCAGCAUGGUGUGUUGUGGGUUCAGGGUUGUGGGUUCGAUUCCCAC
rnacentral:tRNA from 1 species